UAAUAUACGCUUGUCUCAAACGGUAAUCCAUGCAUGUUUUAGUACGAUCAACCUUAAUGUUAUACCGCAUAAGGCUCAGUAUAACAGCUAUAAUUUACUCGAUCAUCCCCAUAGUUACUUGGAUAUCUGUGUAAUAUCUAGAGUUAAUACAUGCAUUAUACCAGUACCUCGUGGUACUGGUCCACUUAUUAGUCAAACCAAUCUCGCUCCCCUCCAGGGCCCGUUUUUUGAGUUGAAAUCUGGAUAAUGAUACCGAUUGUAUGGUCUCGCACCGAUUACCGAUCUUUCAAAUAUCUGCCCUUUCACCUAUUGAUGGUAGUAUAGAGGACUACCAUGGUUGCAACGGGUAACGGGGAAUCAGGGUUUGAUUCUUGAGAUGGAGCGUGAGAACUGGCUACCACAUCCCCGGAUGUCAGCAGGCGCGUAAAUUACCCAAUCCCGCCACGGGGAGGUAGUGAGGAGAAAUCACAAUAUAAAACUUUUUAAUGAUGUUUUAUAAUUGGAAUGAGUUGAGCAUACAUCCUUCAGCAAGUAUCAAGG
rnacentral:rRNA from 1 species